rnacentral:lncRNA from 1 species
GUAAGAAGUGAUAAAGCCCUUGGUGCUGGGAGAUAAAGCCCUUGGUGCUGGGAAGUCAUGGUGGCAGGAGUGGGGGGCAGCUGGUCAUAUUUCAUGUUCAGUCAGGAAGCAGGGCGGGAGGGAGGGAGGGAGGGGUGGGCGCCGGAGUCCGGCUUGAUCUCUCCUGUUUAUGAAGCGGUGUUAACCACGUUCAGCAUGGAGCCGCUCCUCCUCACAGGUGGGUUUGUGCACGUGAGUGCGGUAGUCGUGGAGGCCAGAGGGUGGCAGAUCCACUAGAGCUUGAGCCACCCAGUGUGGGUGCUGGGUGCUGGGUGCUGGGUGCUGAACCCCUCUGAGCUUCGGCGGCCUCUCUCUGACUUCUGUACGAAAGGUUUCCUCUCUCAAAGAAAAGUUAACUUUGAUAAAACCGCCAGCGUUUAUUAAAACUGCACAGUAGAUCCCCAUGUCUACAACCUUGGUUGUGCAGGGCUUUGAGCAGCCACCUUCAUCUGAUCAGCUGUGUCUACUUGUGAUCGUCCCAGCUGGGGCUUGUUGAAGGCCGCCUCCCUCACAGAAAGAGGGGAGGGUCGGGACCCCUACCCAAGCAUCCAGUAACUUCUUCUUGCCAGCUAUCUGCAAUUCUGCCCUAAUGCCCCCGGGACCUGGGGGAAGGGGCCUGAGGAUAUAGGCGUGGAAGAACUAGAGAGCCGACCAGAUCCACUCAGGCUUCGGGGGUGUCAUCCACGCUGGGCACAGACCUUCCACGGUGGCUGCUUCAAGGUCACCCACGCUCCUGCCCUUCAGCCAUGCUCCGUGACCCUACUCGGACACCCCUUGGGGGAGGGGGUGAGAAGACGCAGCAGCACCAACGACUCAGGCACUGGGAGUCGAUACCCACGGCUAAUCACUGAACUGAACUGGAAUCCAGAUGCAGAAAAGGAAGAGUGAAGAGUAAAGGGGUCCAGACCAGGCUGGUGAAACCCACAGAAACAGCUGACCUGAACACCGGGGAACUCUUGCUCCCCAGACUGAUAGCUGGGAAACCAGCAUGGGACUGAUCCAGACCCCAGGAACAUGGGUUUCAGUGAGGAAACCUUAGAAAUCUAUGGACCUCCUGUAGUAGUUCAGUACUUAUCCCUAGCAUAGGUGUGGACUUUGGGAGCCCAUUCCACAUAGAGGAAUACUCCCUGAGCCAAGACACAUGGGGGUGGGCCUAGGCCCCAUCCCAAAGGAUACGACAGACUCUGAUGACACCCUAUGGAAGGCCUCACCAACCAGGGGGAGCAGAAAGAUAUGUGAUAGGUAGGGUUUUAGUUGGG